GACGAACGCUGGCGGCGUGCUUAACACAUGCAAGUCGAACGGAAAGGCCCUGCUUUUGUGGGGUUCUCGCGUGGCGAACGUGUGAGUAACACGUGAGUCUCCUUCCCUUUACUUUGUGAUAACUUCAGGAAACUGGUGCUACUACCUGAUAGGAGCUCCUGCUGCAUGGUGGGGUUUGGACCUUUUCGGCGGUUGGGGAUGGACUCGGGGCUUAUUGGCUUGUUGGUUGGGUACUUGCUUACCCAGGCAUUGGCGGCUAGCCGGCAUGUGAGGGGAGACGGGGACAUGGGGACUGAGAGACGGAGCAGAGUCGUACGGGAGGCAGCAGGGGGGAAUAUGGCACAGUGGGCGGAAGCGUGAGGAAGCGACGUCGCGUGCGGGAUGACGGCCUUCGGGUGGUAAACCGCAGUAGCCUGUGACGAAGCGUGAGUGACGGUAAUGGGUGAAGAAGCACCGGCUAACUACGUG
rnacentral:rRNA from 1 species